rnacentral:rRNA from 1 species
AUGGCACUCUCCGCCGCGUCCAGGCUGUCGCGCGCGGCGCGGGCCGCCGCCGUGGCCCGCCGCCUGGCAGCCGGCAGCCGCGAGCCCCUCCCGCGCGCACUUGCGUCGCUAGCCGGGGGAACCCCCUUCCCCACCGCCGCCAAGGUCAGCAGGCCCUCGUGGCUCGCUCCUCCCAUGGCCAGGCUCCCCACGGGGGGCGGGGGUGGCCUCCUGGUGCCGCCUCGCCGGCUUUUCCACUCCACGCCGCCGGCUCGGUACAGCGCCUCAUCCUCGUCUCAGAUAAGUCCAGAUCAAUUCACUGAGAUGGCUUGGGAGGGGGUUGCCGGUGCAGUUGAGGCAGCGAGAUUGUCUAAACAACAGAUUGUGGAAUCUGAGCACCUGAUGAAAGCUCUUUUGGAGCAGAAGGAUGGGUUAGCACGCAGAAUAUUUUCAAAAGCUGGGAUAGACAACACAUCGGUCCUGCGAGCUACUGAUGACUUUAUUGCUAAACAACCCAAGGUUAGUGGUGAUACAAGUGGGCCAGUUGUAGGGCAAAGUUUCACAUUAAUUUUGGAUAAGGCAAUGAAGUACAAAAAAGAGUAUGGCGAUGAGUUUGUAUCAGUUGAGCACAUGCUGAGAGCAUUCACGGCGGAUAAGAGGUUUGGGCAACAGUUGUUCGAAGAUCUCCAGAUUGGUGAGAAUGAGCUGAAGGAAGCUAUCUCUGCUGUACGUGGUAGCCAGCGAGUUACAGAUCAGAAUCCAGAAGGGAAGUUCCAAGCUCUAGAGAAGUAUGGUAUCGACAUGACAGAACUAGCUCGGCGUGGAAAACUUGAUCCUGUUAUAGGACGUGAUGAUGAAGUGCGCCGAUGCAUUCAAAUCCUUUGUAGAAGAACUAAAAAUAAUCCUGUAAUUAUUGGCGAGCCAGGAGUUGGCAAAACUGCGAUUGCUGAAGGAUUGGCUCAGCGCAUUGUGCGGGGAGAUGUUCCUGAGCCUUUACAAAAUAGAAAGCUUAUUUCGCUGGACAUGGGAGCAUUACUUGCUGGUUCCAAAUAUCGUGGUGAAUUUGAAGAGAGACUUAAGGCUGUUCUGAAGGAGGUCACUGCUUCUAAUGGACAAAUCAUCUUGUUCAUUGAUGAGAUUCACACUGUUGUUGGUGCAGGAGCCACUGGUGGGUCAAUGGAUGCUGGUAACCUGUUGAAACCAAUGUUAGGCCGUGGGGAACUCCGUUGCAUUGGGGCAACAACAUUAGAUGAGUACAGGAAGUACAUUGAGAAAGAUGCUGCUCUUGAACGUAGGUUCCAGCAGGUUUACUGUGGUGAACCAGCAGUUGAGGAUACAGUUUCUAUACUACGUGGCCUGCGAGAGCGGUAUGAGAUGCAUCAUGGUGUUAAGAUAUCAGAUGGUGCUCUUGUUGCUGCAGCUGCUUUAUCAGAUCGCUACAUCACUGGACGUUUUUUGCCUGACAAAGCUAUUGAUCUAGUUGAUGAAGCGGCAGCUAAAUUGAAAAUGGAGAUUACAUCAAAACCUAUCGAGUUGGAUGAGGUCGACAGGGAAAUCAUAAGGUUUGAAAUGGAGAAGCUUUCAUUGAAGAAUGAUACUGACAAAGCCUCCAAAGAACGACUAAGCAAGCUUGAAGCUGAACUAGAAUCCCUCAAGCAGAAGCAGAAAAACCUUUCAGAACACUGGGAGUAUGAGAAAUCGUUGAUGACUCGUAUAAAAUCAAUUAAGGAAGAGAUUGACAGAGUUAACCUGGAGAUUGAAGCCGCUGAGAGAGAAUAUAAUUUGAACCGUGCUGCUGAACUCAAAUAUUCAACGCUUUUGACACUACAAAAACAGCUGGAUGAGGCUGAGGAAAACCUUACUGAAUUCCAGCAGUCAGGAAAGUCGAUGCUUCGAGAAGAGGUGACUGAUGUUGAUAUUGCUGAGAUAGUUAGCAAGUGGACUGGUAUUCCAGUGUCAAAUCUUCAACAAUCGGAUAGGGAAAAGCUACUGCUACUGGAGGAUGUACUCCACAAGAGGGUUAUUGGCCAAGAUAUUGCAGUCAAGUCAGUAGCCAAUGCAAUCCGUCGUUCUAGGGCAGGCCUAUCGGACCCUAACCGUCCAAUAGCGAGCUUCAUGUUUAUGGGCCCUACAGGUGUAGGCAAGACUGAGCUGGGAAAGACGCUAGCUGAAUUCCUUUUCAACACUGAAAAUGCCUUGAUACGGAUUGACAUGAGUGAGUACAUGGAGAAGCAUGCUGUUUCUCGCUUGGUUGGAGCACCACCGGGGUACGUCGGUUAUGAGGAAGGGGGCCAACUUUCAGAAGCUGUUCGCCGCAGGCCUUACUCUGUCGUUCUGUUUGAUGAGAUUGAGAAGGCACACCAAGAUGUCUUCAACAUCUUGUUGCAACUGUUGGACGAUGGAAGAAUAACUGAUUCCCAGGGCAGAACAGUGAGCUUCACUAACUGUGUGAUCAUCAUGACCUCGAACAUUGGUUCACCAUUGAUUCUAGACACCCUCAGAAACACAACAGACAGCAAGGAUGCGGUGUAUGAGGUAAUGAAAAAACAGGUGACUGAGAUUGCUCGGCAGACAUUCCGACCAGAGUUCCUGAACAGGAUAGAUGAAUACAUUGUGUUCCAACCACUGGACUCAACAGAGAUAAAUCGCAUUGUGGAGAUACAGCUGAACCGGGUCAAAAACAGGCUGCUGCAACAGAAGAUUCACCUUCAGUACACACCGGAAGCUGUGGAGCAUCUCGGCGCUCUUGGCUUUGACCCUAACUACGGUGCCAGGCCUGUCAAGAGGGUGAUCCAGCAGAUGGUGGAGAACGAGAUAGCGCUCGGUGUCCUCAAGGGUGACUUCAAGGAAGACGAUACCGUUGUCGUGGAUGUAAGCUCCGUGUCGAUAGCCAAAGGCUUUGCUCCAAAGAAGCAGCUGGUCCUUCAGAGGUUAGAAAACGGAAGCACAGAGUUGGUUGCCAAGGACGGAAGCACAGAGUUGGUUGCCAAUGACUGA